AGCAGCCACUUUACUUUUCUCCGAUUUAUCAUUCUGCUUUUUUUUUUGCAGUGGAAAACCAAGGGGAGUCAAGAAGAAGCAGCCUUGGCUGGGAACAGUGUGUGUGUUGGGGGUGCAUUGGGGGGGGGGGUGGAGGUGGGUGGGGGGUUGCUGUAAAAUCUUCUGCUAGAAUUGAGACUUGCUUCAGGGGCCUAAACCAUCUUUUACAAAUUCAGCCAAUAGAUAUUUUUCCUGACUGCGGGCCAAGCAUCAUAUUAGACCCUAUAGUACAAACCAGAUCAUGCCCUCAUGUGACUUUGGGCCUGGGGGUGAAGCAAGCGGGAACAGUGCAGCCGUGGCUAAUUGGGAGGACCACAUGGCCUAAGCAGGCACCGUACUUCUGUGUCUCAGCCUCCUCCCCUCCCUGAUGCAGCCAGGUGCUGGAGAAGGGAAGGGGAAGGAGAGAUCUCCUUGGCUGCCAGCCUCUGGAACAUCCUGUCCAUCUUCCAGGAGGACACAGUCUUUCUGCUGUGUAUUGAUGCCCAGGCUAGUGUUCCAACAAAUAUCCUACAAUCAGCCAAAGCAUGAUUUCCCUGGGAACCAGAGGGGCAUGAGGCCGGCAGCCCAUCUGAUAUAAGGACCUCCCUGGGUGGUUUUCUAAGCAGCCCACAGCCAUGAGUCAGGAGAACACAGAUGAUACACAGUUCUCCAGCUUUCUCUCCCUCCUCCUGGGGAACCUGAGGCUAGGCUGAUUCAUCUUAGUGUCUCCCAUCGGGCCUGCAGCUGAGAGCCUCUGAGAGAAGGAUUCCCCUAAGGCUGCGAAUGCUGGCUGUCAAGGCCACUUACCCUUGGGCUGGUACCUUGCACUGGAAUUUUCAGAGGCUGCCUUUUUCUUUCAUCUGGCUGUAAAUUUUGAAUCUUUAACAGCCUCAACUAUUUUAGACACAAGCCCAUAAGCCACAAAGGACAGUCCCGGAUGCCUCUGGGAUCCACUUUUUCCACACUUCUUGUUUCCAGUCUGCAGACACUCCACUUUUCCUCAAAGCAGGAAAGACCUUUCCAGAAUGGGGGUGUUAGGGGAACCACUGACCGAAAGCACCUGCCCUGGCCAGACGCCAUUGUAAACACCUGCAUGAGUGACCUUAAAUGGGAGGUUGUGGUAAAGAACGCAGAACUAACACGCUACCACCAAGUGGAAGAAUUCAAGAACAGUCGAAAGGAGAGGGAAAACUCCAGUUCAUAUGUCCAAGCAAUCUCCCAGAAUCCUCCUCGCGGAAAUCCAUCCUGGAAGCAAUGCACACAGCCAGGACCCUGAGUCAGAAUGAUUGACCAGGGUUGGAAAUCAACCCAAUUACCAGAGCACCCAAGACUGUGAGCCACGUGCCAGGGCAGUUCUCCUGCUCUCUCCUCCGGGAACCCCUUCCCAAUAAAGUCUCUUCCUUGGCCAGCAUGCGUGUCUCCUCGAAAAAUUAAUUUCUGGGUGAUAGACAAGAGCCCACUCUUGGGCCUUGGAAGGAAAGCACCCCCUUUCCUUCAACAUGGAGACCCCACCCCAUCUGCCACACUAAUGAGCUGGGCUUCUCCCUUGCAGAUCCCAGCAGGAAGCAGUUUAAU